rnacentral:rRNA from 1 species
UACGGAGGAGGCAAGCGUUAUCCGGAAUUAUUGGGCGUAAAGCGUCCGUAGGUGGCUCUUCAAGUCUGCUGUCAAAGAGUGGGGCUUAACCCUGCAAAGGCAGUGGAAACUGAAAGGCUAGAGAGCCGUAGGGGUAGAGGGAAUUCCCGGUGUAGCGGUGAAAUGCGCAGAUAUCAGGAGGAACACCAAUGGCGAAGGCAGCUCGCUGGAACGGUACUGACGCUGUGGCGCGAAAGCGUGGGGAGCGAACAGG